UGGGGAAUUUUGGACAAUGGGGGCAACCCUGAUCCAGCCAUCCCGCGUGUGCGAUGAAGGCCUUCGGGUUGUAAAGCACUUUUGGCAGGGAAGAAAAGGCGCAGGUUAAUACCCUGUGCUGCUGACGGUACCUGCAGAAUAAGCACCGGCUAACUACGUGCCAGCAGCCGCGGUAAUACGUAGGGUGCAAGCGUUAAUCGGAAUUACUGGGCGUAAAGCGUGCGUAGGCGGUUUGGCAAGAAAGAUGUGAAAUCCCAGGGCUUAACCUUGGAACUGCAUUUUUAACUGCCAGGCUAGAGUAUGUCAGAGGGGGGUAGAAUUCCACGUGUAGCAGUGAAAUGCGUAGAGAUGUGGAGGAAUACCGAUGGCGAAGGCAGCCCCCUGGGAUAAUACUGACGCUCAGGCACGAAAGCGUGGGGAGCAAACA
rnacentral:rRNA from 1 species